rnacentral:SRP_RNA from 1 species
GCCUGGUGCCGUGGCGCGUGUCUGUAGUUCCAGCUACUCAGAAGGUUGAGGCUGGAAGACCACUUGAGCCCAGGAGUCCUGGGUUGUAUUGUGCUAUGCUAAUGGGGUUUCUGCACUAAUUUCAGCAUUAAUAUGGUGACCUCCUGGGAGCGGGGAACCGCCAGGUUGCCUAAGUAGGGGUGAACCUGCCCAGGUUGAAAAUGGAGCAGGUCAAAAAUCCUAUAUUGAGUAGUGGGAUUGCACCUGUGAACAGCCACUGCACUGCAGUUUGGGCAACACAAUGAGGCCUCGUCUCU